GGCGAACGGGUGAGUAACACGUGGGUGAUCUGCCUUGCACUCUGGGAUAAGCUUGGGAAACUGGGUCUAAUACCGGAUAGGAACCGUCUUUAGUGUGGUGGUUGGAAAGUUUUUCGGUGUAGGAUGAGCUCGCGGCCUAUCAGCUUGUUGGUGGGGUAAUGGCCUACCAAGGCGGCGACGGGUAGCCGGCCUGAGAGGGUGUACGGCCACAUUGGGACUGAGAUACGGCCCAG
rnacentral:rRNA from 1 species